rnacentral:rRNA from 1 species
UCUACUAGCCGUUGGAGGACUUGAUCCUUUAGUGGCGCAGCUAACGCGAUAAGUAGACCGCCUGGGGAGUACGGUCGCAAGAUUAAAACUCAAAUGAAUUGACGGGGGCCCGCACAAGCGGUGGAGCAUGUGGUUUAAUUCGAAGCAACGCGAAGAACCUUACCUACUCUUGACAUCCAGUGAACUUUUGAGAGAUCAAUUGGUGCCUUCGGGAACACUGAGACAGGUGCUGCAUGGCUGUCGUCAGCUCGUGUUGUGAAAUGUUGGGUUAAGUCCCGUAACGAGCGCAACCCUUGUCCUUAGUUACCAUCAUUAAGUUGGGGACUCUAAGGAGACUGCCGGUGACAAACCGGAGGAAGGCGGGGACGACGUCAAGUCAUCAUGGCCCUUACGAGUAGGGCUACACACGUGCUACAAUGGCAUGUACAAAGGGUUGCCAAGCCGCGAGGUGGAGCUAAUCCCAUAAAGCAUGUCG